GACGAACGCUGGCGGCGUGCCUAAUACAUGCAAGUCGAACGCUUCUUUCCUCCCGAGUGCUUGCACUCAAUUGGAAAGAGGAGUGGCGGACGGGUGAGUAACACGUGGGUAACCUACCCAUCAGAGGGGGAUAACACUUGGAAACAGGUGCUAAUACCGCAUAACAGUUUAUGCCGCAUGGCAUAAGAGUGAAAGGCGCUUUCGGGUGUCGCUGAUGGAUGGACCCGCGGUGCAUUAGCUAGUUGGUGAGGUAACGGCUCACCAAGGCCACGAUGCAUAGCCGACCUGAGAGGGUGAUCGCCCACACUGGGACUGAGACACGGCCCAGACUCCUACGGGAGGCAGCAGUAGGGAAUCUUCGGCAAUGGACGAAAGUCUGACCGAGCAACGCCGCGUGAGUGAAGAAGGUUUUCGGAUCGUAAAACUCUGUUGUUAGAGAAGAACAAGGACGUUAGUAACUGAACGUCCCCUGACGGUAUCUAACCAGAAAGCCACGGCUAACUACGUG
rnacentral:rRNA from 1 species